rnacentral:tRNA from 1 species
CAGGCUAUAGUUUAAUUAAAAAUGUUCGCUUUGGGAGCGUAGGACACCCUUAUGGGUUAGCCUGA